rnacentral:tRNA from 2 species
GGGGGUAUAGCUCAGCUGGGAGAGCGCUUGCAUGGCAUGCAAGAGGUCAGCGGUUCGAUCCC